rnacentral:rRNA from 1 species
AUUUUCCUACGGGACGCAGCAGUAGGGAAUCUUCCACAAUGGACGAAAGUCUGAUGGAGCAACGCCGCGUGAGUGAAGAAGGGUUUCGGCUCGUAAAGCUCUGUUGGUAGUGAAGAAAGAUAGAGGUAGUAACUGGCCUUUAUUUGACGGUAAUUACUUAGAAAGUCACGGCUAACUACGUGCCCGCAGCCGCGGUAAUACGUAGGUGGCAAGCGUUGUCCGGAUUUAUUGGGCGUAAAGCGAGUGCAGGCGGUUCCAUUAGUC